CGGGUACUGCCCGGUACGAGCUUUAGCGAACAUCCCUGAGGCGAUAAGACAUCCUAGGGAGCUGUCCCUGAUCAGAUUCCGGUCUGAAUUACACGGCGCCCACCUGACGUUCUGGCGUCAGAGGAUAUUCCGGCAAACGGCCAUGGCGGUCCCGUC
rnacentral:other from 2 species